rnacentral:rRNA from 1 species
GAGCGCCCCGCAAGGGGAGCGGCAGACGGGAGAGUAACACGUGGGAACGUACCCUUCAGUUCGGAACAACCCAGGGAAACUUGGGCUAAUACCGAAUACGUCCGUAAGGAGAAAGAUUUAUCGCUGAAGGAUCGGCCUGCGUCUGAUUAGCUAGUUGGUGAGGUAACGGCUCACCAAGGCUACGAUCAGUAGCUGGUCUGAGAGGAUGAUCAGCCUCACUGGGACUGAGACACGGCCCAGACUCCUACGGGAGGCAGCAGUGGGGAAUAUUGGACAAUGGGCGCAAGCCUGAUCCAGCCAUGCCGCGUGGAUGAUGAAGGCCCUAGGGUUGUAAAGUCCUUUCGGCGGGGAAGAUAAUGACGGUACCCGCAGAAGAAGCCCCGGCUAACUUCGUGCCAGCAGCCGCGGUAAUACGAAGGGGGCUAGCGUUGCUCGGAAUCACUGGGCGUAAAGCGCACGUAGGCGGCUUUUUAAGUCAGGGGUGAAAUCCUGGAGCUCAACUCCAGAACUGCCUUUGAUACUGAGAGGCUUGAGUCCGGGAGAGGUGAGUGGAACUGCGAGUGUAGAGGUGAAAUUCGUAGAUAUUCGCAAGAACACCAGUGGCGAAGGCGGCUCACUGGCCCGGUACUGACGCUGAGGUGCGAAAGCGUGGGGA